GACGAACGCUGGCGGCGUGCUUAACACAUGCAAGUCGAACGGUGACCUCGGAGCUUGCUCCGGGCGAUCAGUGGCGAACGGGUGAGUAACACGUGAGUAACCUGCCCCAGACUCUGGGAUAACCCCGGGAAACCGGAGCUAAUACCGGAUACGACGCGAAGAGGCAUCUCUAUCGCCUGGAAAGUUUUUCGGUCUGGGAUGGACUCGCGGCCUAUCAGCUUGUUGGUGAGGUAACGGCUCACCAAGGCGACGAGGGGUAGCCGGCCUGAGAGGGCGACCGGCCACACUGGGACUGAGACACGGCCCAGACUCCUACGGGAGGCAGCAGUGGGGAAUAUUGCACAAUGGGCGAAAGCCUGAUGCAGCGACGCCGCGUGGGGGAUGACGGCCUUCGGGUUGUAAACCCCUUUCAGCAGGGAAGAAGCGAAAGUGACGGUACCUGCAGAAGAAGCACCGGCUAACUACGUGCCAGCAGCCGCCGUAAGAC
rnacentral:rRNA from 1 species